rnacentral:rRNA from 1 species
UGGUUUAAUUCGAAGCAACGCGCAGAACCUUACCAACCCUUGACAUCCUGUGCUACAUCCAGAGAUGGAUGGUUCCUUCGGGGACGCAGUGACAGGUGCUGCAUGGCUGUCGUCAGCUCGUGUCGUGAGAUGUUCGGUUAAGUCCGGCAACGAGCGCAACCCACAUCUUCAGUUGCCAGCAGUUCGGCUGGGCACUCUGGAGAAACUGCCCGUGAUAAGCGGGAGGAAGGUGUGGAUGACGUCAAGUCCUCAUGGGCCUUACGGGUUGGGCUACACACGUGCUACAAUGGCAGUGACAAUGGGUUAAUCCCCAAAAACUGUCUCAGUUCGGAUUGUUCUCUGCAACUCGAGAGCAUGAAGUCGGAAUCGCUAGUAAUCGCGUAACAGCAUGACGCGGUGAAUACGUU